rnacentral:rRNA from 1 species
UACGAAGGGGGCUAGCGUUGUUCGGAAUUACUGGGCGUAAAGCGCGCGCAGGCGGUCCUUUAAGUCAGGGGUGAAAGCCCAGAGCUCAACUCUGGAACUGCCUUUGAAACUAGAGGACUUGGGUACGGGAGAGGUGAGUGGAACUGCGAGUGUAGAGGUGAAAUUCGUAGAUAUUCGCAAGAACACCAGUGGCGAAGGCGGCUCACUGGCCCGGUACUGACGCUGAGGUGCGAAAGCGUGGGGAGCAAACAGG